UCGAGCGAGUCUGCCUUGAAGAUCGGAGUGCUUGCACUCUGUGAAACAAGAUACAGGCUAGCGGCGGACGGGUGAGUAACUCGUGGGUAACCUGCCCAAGAGAUCGGGAUAACACCUGGUAACAGAUGCUAAUACCGGAUAACAACAGAUGAUGCCUAUCAACUGUUUAAAAGAUGGCUCUGCUAUCACUCUUGGAUGGACCUGCGGUGCAUUAGCUAGUUGGUAGGGUAACGGCCUACCAAGGCGAUGAUGCAUAGCCGAGUUGAGAGACUGAUCGGCCACAUUGGGACUGAGACACGGCCCAAACUCCUACGGGAGGCAGCAGUAGGGAAUCUUCCACAAUGGACGCAAGUCUGAUGGAGCAACGCCGCGUGAGUGAAGAAGGGUUUCGGCUCGUAAAGCUCUGUUGUUGGUGAAGAAGGACAGGGGUAGUAACUGACCUUUGUUUGACGGUAAUCAAUUAGAAAGUCACGGCUAACUACGUGCCAGCAGCCGCGGUAAUACGUAGGUGGCAAGCGUUGUCCGGAUUUAUUGGGCGUAAAGCGAGUGCAGGCGGCUCGAUAAGUCUGAUGUGAAAGCCUUCGGCUCAACCGGAGAAUUGCAUCAGAAACUGUCGAGCUUGAGUACAGAAGAGGAGAGUGGAACUCCAUGUGUAGCGGUGAAAUGCGUAGAUAUAUGGAAGAACACCGGUGGCGAAGGCGGCUCUCUGGUCUGUUACUGACGCUGAGGCUCGAAAGCAUGGGUAGCGAACAGGAUUAGAUACCCUGGUAGUCCAUGCCGUAAACGAUGA
rnacentral:rRNA from 1 species